CAGGCUUGAAGUGUAAUGCUUACUAGUACUUUCCUGCACAGUCUGUACCACAUUGCAAUCCUACCAUCAUUCCCCCAGGGGAGGCAUGGAAACCAUGGCAAGUCUGGGCUGGAUUAGGGAGUGAUGCUACUUUUUUCCCAUGUAUCCAAGAGCAAUAUUGCAAUGGUGCCUUGAAGGUGCUUAGCUAUGUAGAUGGAGAUACCGUUUCCCCUCUUUGUUGGAAAUUGCAUCUGGGUAUGGAAAAUCGUAGAUGGAUAUGGAAAAACUUUCUGUAAGCUUUAAUUGGUAAAGAACUGGAGAGUUUACAGGUACCUUCACAAACAGCCACUGAGGACUGGGAGAGGGCAAAACUGCACAAAAUUCAUUUAUGCUGUGUAGUAGCAGUGUGCUCGCAGUCAGAGGACAUCUGGGAACACAAAUAAGGGAUGCUGGUAAAACGUUUGCACUUCUCAUUAAUAAGGAUUGCCUAGUCUACAGGUCACCUCAACUGAGUGACUUCCCAGCUGUGAAGACUUCAGUAUUGAUGUAUCCAGUCAAUAGCAGGGAACUUGAGGGGAAAAAUAAAGUAGCACAGACAUAGACACUGGAAAAAGCAACACCUCCUGAAUUACCACCACCACUUCCCGGAGAGGUAGUGGUUGGGUCUGUCAGUAGUCUGCCAACUACUGACUCAGCCUGUCCCCAUUUUUAUGUCCAAGACCUAAUAAGAUGAAAUUGAAAUUGCUUGCAUUGGGGUUGUAUAUAUUUUCAUACAGGAUCACCAUCUCCUUAAAAUCAGCGCACUCGGGAUAAUCAUAACACACCCUGUUACUAGAGGUUGAAAGUCAAGGUGGGUUAUGAGGUAGGAACAGGUUCGGAGUUGACAUGGCAUGGCUGCAAUUACACAGGAGAUCAGUAGCAGAGCUGGAAAGAGGAAUAAAGGUUGUUUGAAGCUCUGUUUCUCCCUUCACAUCUGGAUCAGUAACUUCAGACUGACUGCCAGAUCUCUCCAGAAUAAUAACAUUCACUGAGGAAAUAAAUCACUAAAGAAUAAAAACGACACUGCUGUCAACCAUGUGGGUGCUCAGCAUCCCACUCCAUAAAAACAAG
rnacentral:lncRNA from 1 species